rnacentral:lncRNA from 1 species
GUCCCGCUUUGCUGCUCCGUGAUAGAACAUGGCAGUUUAGGUUACCAUCUCAAUGUAAAUCUCUUUCAUACACAAAGAUAACAAGCCAAUACGAGAGGAGGGGGACAUUUCUUUGCACCCCCUGACUGAAAUUCGAACAGCAUUCAACACAGAUUCUGUCUCAGAAAUUAUGGAAGCAGCAAAUGAUUACACCAUCUUCCAAAUGGUAGAGCAACAGGUUAAUCUAGUCUACUGGGUACGACCAUGAAGGAUGUCCUACGUGUUCGCCACCGCCUUGACACCACCAGCAAAGUUCUCCAUACCUCUGACGGAGGGCCUCCUACCACGGGUCAUCACAGUGAGCCAGUCCCCCAGCCUACCCAGCAGUCCGCCCAGGUCAGCGAUGCCCGACUUUCCCUUUCGAGAAGUAUGACGGUACUCUAUCGAAAUUUCGUGGCUUUCUACUCCAGUGCUCCCUCUAUUUCACCUGUCAGACGGGAGCCCCCACCCCCUAGAGGUCCAAGGUUGUCACGGUCAUUUCCCUGCUGACUGGACAGGCGUUGGAGUGGGCUACGGCCGUCUGGGAGAGAGGAGAGGAUGCGGUCUUCGACCAUCCUCCAGAGUGCAGAGAGGGAGGUGAGUGACUUUAUUUUUCUUCGAGAGCGCUGGUGUCCACCAUGCCACUCCACCCCUCGUUUGGCUGUCCUAAGGGAGAGCCUGAAACCAUGAGGUGGGGGGCCACGCACCUCUCCACGUCAUGGGAGACAGCUGGGACUCUGUUCCUAUUGCGGCCAGGAGGGACACCAGCUUCAGCGGUGCCCGGUGCGUCCUAAGCCGGGGUCCACUAGAACAGAGGGGUGGCCCUGUGACCUUCCAUCUCCCAAGGUAGGCGUGAGUUUUCCAUCACUUUCCGCCAAACCCUUUCUGGCUUCAUUUUUGCUGGCUGUCCCUCAUCUGUCUCUACAGCUCUAGUGGACUCCAGUGCCGCUGGGAACUUCAUCAACCAGGCCCUCGCCUCCUCCCUGAACUUAACUUCAUACCCGCUCUCCUCCUUUUCCUGUCCAAGCUCUGGAUAUGUGACCAUUGGGAUCCACCACAAUUACUCAUGUCACAGCACCACUCACCUUCAACGUGGGACCCAAGCACUAGGAAAGCCUUCCCUUCACCACCGCACCCAUAUACAAAGUAAUCCUCGGCCUCCCAUGGCUUCAACUCCAUAACCCCACCAUCUCCUGGUCAAGGAUGAGAAUCAUCGCCUGGGGACCAGGAUGCCGAGGGACCUGCUUUCCCGCACCCUGUGGUUCCACGUCUGUGGAGGGUCUUGGGAGUGUCCUCCAGCCCAUCAAGCGGUCCUCCCGUAUCGUUGGUCCCAUGUUUUGGGACAUGAUGUGGACAUCUGCCAGGCUCUGUAGAGAACCAGCUCCUGCCACCUGCCCUCCAGAGUGCAUCUACGUCCCCAAGGAGGUGAGAGAUCGGCUGUUGACCUGGGCACACACAUCCCUUGCCGCUGGACACCCAGGUAUCACCCGCACCAUCCAAUUCCUCUCCGAUAAAUACUGGUGGCCCACCUUGGCGAAGGACGUCGCCCACUAUGUCAACUUAUGUUCAGUAUGUACUCAGUCCAAAUCUUCCCGGCACACUCCAGCAGGUCGCUGAGGCACUAUUCCAGCAGGUCUUCCAACACACGUCGCGGGUCUGGAAAGCCUUUAUGGAGAAGCUGGGGACCAUGAUCAGGUGGACAACCACUGCAGUGAGGCUCCCGUGUUUCAUCCUGGUGCUCACGUCUGGCUCUCCAUCAGAAACCUCCGCCUGCUCUGCUGGAAGUUGAGCCCCCGGAUUGUGGGGCCUCUCAAAGUCCUCCUGAGGGCCAAUGGGGUAACCUAUAGAUUACAGAUCCCCACUAAUUACCAGAUCUCACCGUCUUUUCAUGUUUCCCUCCUCAGGCCGGUGGUUCCUGGUCCCCUAGCUGAAACCAUCCCCCACGACACCCCUCCACCUCCCCUGGACAUCGAGGGAUGCCCCACCUAUGCCGUCAGAUCCUUCUUGGACUCCCGACGUCGUGGGGGUCGGCUCCAGUACCAGAUGGACUGGGAGGGGUAUGGUCCAGAGGAGCAGUGUUGGGUUCCAGUGGACGACAUUCUAGAUCCCAACAUCAUCCGAGAUUUCCACCUUCGCAGAGAUUUCAACCUUCGGGUUACUGUCACGUCUACUCCCACUCCGGCGCUCGACGUCACCGGUUUACUAACCACCGGUCCUGGCAACCCAUCAUUAUGCUCACCUGCGCCUCAUCACCACCUUGAUUACUUCCCCUUUAUCUAGCAAUCCCUAGCGUCAGGCAGUCUUGGUUCAGUUUUCAUGUCCAGAUGUGUCUCUUGUUUUGUAAC